rnacentral:rRNA from 1 species
GACGAGCCUCACAAACGUUAUUCGGAAUUACUGGGCUUAAAGGGAGCGUAGGCGGGCUAUCAAGUCUGGGGUGAAAUCCCGCGGCUCAACCGUGGAACUGCCUCAGAUACUGACGGCCUCGAGGGAGAUAGGGGCAUGCGGAACUGUAGGUGGAGCGGUGAAAUGCGUUGAUAUCUACAGGAACUCCGGUGGCGAAAGCGGCGUGCUGGAUCUCUUCUGACGCUGAGGCUCGAAAGCUAGGGGAGCAAACGGG